AGAGAUAUAGCUCAGUUGGUAGAGUGUUUGCCUCACAGGCACAAGGCCCUGGGUUCAAUCCCCAGCACCACAC
rnacentral:tRNA from 1 species